GAUGAACGCUGGCGGCGUGCCUAAUACAUGCAAGUCGAGCGAACAGACGAGGAGCUUGCUCCUCUGACGUUAGCGGCGGACGGGUGAGUAACACGUGGAUAACCUACCUAUAAGACUGGGAUAACUUCGGGAAACCGGAGCUAAUACCGGAUAAUAUAUUGAACCGCAUGGUUCAAUAGUGAAAGACGGUUUUGCUGUCACUUAUAGAUGGAUCCGCGCCGCAUUAGCUAGUUGGUAAGGUAACGGCUUACCAAGGCAACGAUGCGUAGCCGACCUGAGAGGGGGGUCGGCGACCUUGGAACUGGAACACGGUCCAGGCUCCUACGGGAGGCAGCAGUAGGGAAUCGUCCGCAAUGGGCGGAAGCUUGACGGAGCAACGGCGAGUGAGUGAUGAAGGUCUUCGGAUCGUAAAACUCUGUUAUUAGGGAAGAACAAAUGUGUAAGUAACUAUGCACGUCUUGACGGUACCUAAUCAGAAAGCAACGGCUAACUACGUG
rnacentral:rRNA from 1 species